CUUAUAUAUACAAUAUAAUUUUUCGAUGAACAGGCGAAGAGUGUUCGGAUGAACACGCUUGCGCCCCUGCCUCCGCCCCUGUUUGUACGAGUCAACCGACAAAGAGAAUCAAUUGGUACUUGAGCACAUUACCUGGUAAUUUAUCUUCUCAAAUUCGAUAAUGAUCUCAAGAUUCUCAACCAUCAUACUAGUAGUGACUUCUUCUAACGUUGUAAAGGGUAUCCCCAGGCCCUAGCUAGCCCCGGCACCUCGGGACCCGAGUAACCCACAACCCCCACCCCCACGAUACAUGCAAAAUUAGACUAAUUUUGUUUAGAAAUA
rnacentral:lncRNA from 1 species